rnacentral:rRNA from 1 species
CAAGACCUUGCGCUUUUGGAGCGGCCGAUGUCUGAUUAGCUAGUUGGUGAGGUAAAGGCUUACCAAGGCUUCGAUCAGUAGCUGGUCUGAGAGGACGACCAGCCACACUGGGACUGAGACACGGCCCAGACUCCUACGGGAGGCAGCAGUGGGGAAUUUUGGACAAUGGGGGAAACCCUGAUCCAGCCAUGCCGCGUGAGUGAAGAAGGCCUUCGGGUUGUAAAGCUCUUUCAGCCGGAACGAAAAGGUUACGGUUAAUACCCGUGACUAAUGACGGUACCGGAAGAAGAACCACCGGCUAACUACGUGCCAGCAGCCGCGGUAAUACGUAGGGUGCGAGCGUUAAUCGGAAUUACUGGGCGUAAAGCGUGCGCAGGCGGUUUUGUAAGUCAGAUGUGAAAUCCCCGGGCUCAACCUGGGAACU